UACGGAGGAUGCAAGCGUUAUCCGGAAUGAUUGGGCGUAAAGCGUCCGCAGGUGGCUAUGUAAGUCUGCUGUUAAAGAGUGAGGCUCAACCUCAUAAAAGCAGUGGAAACUACAUGGCUAGAGUGCGUUCGGGGCAGAGGGAAUUCCUGGUGUAGCGGUGAAAUGCGUAGAUAUCAGGAAGAACACCGGUGGCGAAAGCGCUCUGCUAGGCCGCAACUGACACUGAGAGACGAAAGCUAGGGGAGCGAAUGGG
rnacentral:rRNA from 1 species